GGAGAGAUGGCCGAGUGGCUUAAGGCAGCGGUUUGCUAAACCGUUGAUGGGGUUAAACCCAUCCGAGGGUUCGAAUCCCUCUCUCUCCG
rnacentral:tRNA from 1 species